GGAGAGGUGCCUGAGCGGUCGAAAGGGCUCGUCUCGAAAACGAGUACUCAGCAAUGGGUCGCAGGUUCGAAUCCUGUCCUCUCCGCCA
rnacentral:tRNA from 15 species